GCGUGAGUGAAGAAGGCCUUAGGGUUGUAAAGCUCUUUCAGCGGGGAAGAUAAUGACGGUACCCGCAGAAGAAGCCCCGGCUAACUCCGUGCCAGCAGCCGCGGUAAUACGGAGGGGGCUAGCGUUGUUCGGAAUUACUGGGCGUAAAGCGCGCGUAGGCGGACUUUCAAGUCAGGGGUGAAAUCCCGAGGCUUAACCUCGGAACUGCCUUUGAUACUGUUAGUCUUGAGUCCGGGAGAGGUGAGCGGAAUUCCUAGUGUAGAGGUGAAAUUCGU
rnacentral:rRNA from 1 species